UAGCUGCAUUAUUGUACGUUAGCGACAGAAGAAGACACCGGACGUAACUACCGUCGCCAGCAGCCGCGGUAAGUACGGAGGGUGCGAGACGUUAGUACGGUAAUUACGUGGACGUAAAGCGCAUGCAGGUGGUUGUUAAGUCAGAUGUGAAGGACCCGGGGCGUCAACCUACCGGUAAGUUGCUAUUUAGUAAACGUAGGCAGACUAGAGUACUGUAGAGGGGGGUAGGAAUUUCAGGUGUAGCGGUGAAAAUGCGUAGAGAUCUGAAGGAAUACCGGUGGCGAAGGCGGCCCCCUCGGACAGAUACUGACACUCAGAUGCGAAAGCGUGGGGAGCAAACAGGAUUAGAUACCCUGGUAG
rnacentral:rRNA from 1 species